AUAUGGAGGAAGAUAGCAAGGUAAUAUGGAGAAGAUAGCAAGGUAAUAUGGAGGAAGAUAGCAAGGUAAUAUGGUGGAAGAUAGCAAGGUAAUAUGGAGAAGAUAGCAAGGUAAUAUGGAGGAAGAUAGCAAGGUAAUAUGGUGGAAGAUAGCAAGGUAAUAUGGUGGAAGAUAGCAAGGUAAUAUGGAGGAAGAUAGCAAGGUAAUAUGGUGGAAGAUAGCAAGGUAAUAUGGUGGAAGACAGCAAGGUAAUAUGGUGGAAGACAGCAAGGUAAUAUGGUGGAAGAUAGCAAGGUAAUAUGGUGGAAGACAGCAAGGUAAUAUGGUGGAAGACAGCAAGGUAAUAUGGAGGAAGACAGCAAGGUAAUAUGGUGGAAGAUAGCAAGGUAAUAUGGUGGAAGACAGCAAGGUAAUAUGGAGGAAGACAGCAAGGUAAUAUGGUGGAAGACAGCAAGGUAAUAUGGAGGAAGACAGCAAGGUAAUAUGGUGGAAGAUAGCAAGGUAAUAUGGUGGAAGACAG